GGUCCAGUAGCUCAGUUGGAUUAGAGCAAUAGCCUUCUAAGCUAUAGGUCCCAGGUUCGAGCCCUGGCUGGAUCACUA
rnacentral:tRNA from 1 species